UAUAAUGCAGAGUGUGUGUGUGUAUAUAAUGCAGAGUGUGUGUGUGUUAUGUACUGUAUAUAAUGCAAAGUGUGUGUGUGUCUGCAUUAUAUACACACACACACUGCAUUAUAUA